rnacentral:lncRNA from 1 species
GUAAACAUGAUUUGUGGAUCCACUACCAAAUAAAUGGAAUCUUAGCAUUCAAAUGAGUUAACACUUGUUGCUCCUUCGUUCCUUCAAAAUGUGAUGCAUCAACCAAUACGUCCAAUAUUGUCUUCUUUGCCAUCACCACUACAUAUCCUUCACACAAUCACAAUCAAAAUGAUCAUCAACAACAAUUAACAAUUAUAUAUAUAUAUAUAUAGUACGCAAACUCAUUUUCUAAAGAAUAUUCAGAAAGAUCCAUACAAAAUAUAACCUCAUUCUUCCCAACUAUCACAGACAAUUAAAUCUAGAAAAAUAUAUACAUUACCUUUUACUCCUUUAUAUAUUCUUGAACACAAUCUGCCCACUCUGAUCGCACUACAUCUAUCUCUUCAUUUGAAUACUUUUCAUGAGCAUUGAACUGUUAAGUACAUAUUAUAAUUCAGAAAAUAAAACUAAGGCAAAUAAUUAUUAAGAUUGUACAAUUUAACAUACACAAUUAUUACCAAAGAUUGUAGAGAACCAAUCGUCCAAGGAUGACUAUUUAUCACUAUCUCUCUCAUGUACUUCAUCACAUAGAAACCACAUUGAGUCAAGUCUGGUUGUUUCGGAACCUACAUUAAUUUUUCAUUAAUAAUGAAUAGUUAUAAUUCCACAAGUUAUGUUUGAUUAAAUACCUUCAGUAUUGUCCAAUCAGGCUUCUUCUUUCCAUUCUUUCUCUUCUCCAUAUUGAACAACCUUAAGGCCCUUCAUAUAUAAAAAUAACGUAAUGCAUGCAUUGGCAAAAUAUGCUAGAAAUAAGAUAUAAACAGAUACAAAACAAAACUUACAAUUCCACGACUUCUUUCCAAAUUUUAUCAUGAAUUCCUUUGUAUAGGGAAUCCAAGAUAGCAAUCUCUCCCUUAUUAGGGUCAAUCACCGUAAGAAUCCAAUGAUAUCUACAUUUAAGCCACAAAAGAUUAGAGAAAUGUAAUUAAUAAUAUAAUUUAAAUAGCUUAUUAAUAAAAUUUAAAUAGCGCGAGAAUUCUUACUCCACAUUACACGGAGCUAAGAAAAUUUGAUUGAUUUUUGUAUCAAUCAACCUUUUUGACAAUUCUCAUGCUCUAAAUUCCAUAUUCUCAUUCGCAGUUUCUGCAUCACAGUAUAUACCAAUACUAAAAAUAAAAUUAGACCUUAAAUCCUAAAUCAUAAAUCAUAAAUGCAAUGUAGUAAAGGAAUCAAAUAAUAAAUUUAAAACUAAUAGAAAAUAUAAAAUACGAGAGUCAUUUAAAAAACACUAAGCCAUUAUGAUUUGUGAGGCCAAGUUAAGAUUAGUGGAGACAAAGUAGUUACAAUUACAAGAUAAAAUAAAAUGGAAUAAGCAACUAAACAAUUUAGGUAAUGAAACUUUCGUACCUUGACAAAUUUGACAACUAAGAGAAACUUAACUAAACUUUCACCACCAAUUAAUAAAACCUACAAACUAUACUUAAG